AGUGAACGCUGGCGGUAGGCCUAACACAUGCAAGUCGAACGGCAGCACAGUAAGAGCUUGCUCUUACGGGUGGCGAGUGGCGGACGGGUGAGGAAUACAUCGGAAUCUACUUAUUCGUGGGGGAUAACGUAGGGAAACUUACGCUAAUACCGCAUACGACCUCCGGGUGAAAGCAGGGGAUCUUCGGACCUUGCGCGAUUGAAUGAGCCGAUGUCGGAUUAGCUAGUUGGCGGGGUAAAGGCCCACCAAGGCGACGAUCCGUAGCUGGUCUGAGAGGAUGAUCAGCCACACUGGAACUGAGACACGGUCCAGACUCCUACGGGAGGCAGCAGUGGGGAAUAUUGGACAAUGGGCGCAAGCCUGAUCCAGCCAUACCGCGUGGGUGAAGAAGGCCUUCGGGUUGUAAAGCCCUUUUGUUGGGAAAGAAAAGCAGCAGGUUAAUACCCCGCUGUUCUGACGGUACCCAAAGAAUAAGCACCGGCUAACUUCGUG
rnacentral:rRNA from 1 species